CUUUGAUUUCGUCCAUUUUACAGAUUGCCCAGGCAGGUGGUAAUUUUGCUGGCCCACUGGGUUAUGGCCCAGCUGGGCGGACCUCACUCGGCCACGUACACCAUGAAAGGACGAUCAUCCUCUGCUCGAGAACCCUCGCGUAAUACACUCCUCUCUCUCUCUUUCUCAAAUCAAAGAAGAAAUGGACCAGCAGUUUCUACAGCUCUGUGGCUCUAGGGAUGGUGAUCAUUGCCGAGUACAACGAGUUCCAUGGGGAAUCUCACCAUCAUCGCGGAUAUCGCCGAUAAGUGGCCUUGAUUUGCAAAGACGACUCUAUUCCAGAUCUGUCCAAAUCUCCGGCCAGAUACACAGCUAUGCCAUGCGGCACACACCUGAUUCUAUUUCAGAUCUAUACAUUUAGGUCUACAGUUCAGGUAAGCUUUCUAAGAUGAUUUCGGUUGUGUAGUUUGGUUCAGUUCAGUUCCUUGCGAGUUCUGAUGUUGAUUUGCUGCGAAUCUGCCAACUCAGGCCCUAAUCCUUUUCAGUUUACUAUCGUUUUCAGUUUGUUGGGUAUGCGUUCAAGAUGUUUUGGGUUACUUGAACCAAUUGAAAUUUUGGGAUGUUUUGAGUGGGUUUGGUAUCUUCAUCCACGUUUUCUUGAAUUUCGUCGUUCGAUCAAGUUCUGCGGUGGUUUUGUUCGGCUGAUUUUACAUUUAGAUCAGAUUUUUUUGUGAUUAGUUGCAUGUUUUACGACUGGGUUUUGAGUGGGUGUUUUUUUUUUUUGCAAUCGCCAGAGACCACGGUCCACGGCUACGCGAGGCUAUUAUUAUUUUUUGGGGGGUCAAACGAAAAUAACAUAGAUUAAGCAAAGAUGCUACAGUCGAGAUAGAGUAUCAUCGUAGCAUUUAGGAGUACAAGGCAAACCAAUGCCAAAACGCUAAACUAGGUAUGAAUAUGUCCCACGGCCAACGCGUCCGCCAAAAUUAUUUCCCGAUCAGCUAAUGGCACACUUGUUGUAAGAUAACUACAUGUCUGUGAAAAUCCAUUCAAAGUGUGCUCCCAUUUUUUUUUUGCAUUCUAUGUGUUCGACAAAAUGUAUGAGAGAUAAAUGAAUGGUAAUCUAUGUGUUUGACCAAACACAAGUGUUGGGAAUCUUUUUCUGGCUGGAUUGAUGGUUAGUAAAAAUCCAUUAGCUUUAUGGUUUAAAACUUAUUUCUUACUUUGUAAUAGCCAGUUUAUGGAUUCGUCAAGUAGGAUUUGGUGAUUGAUGUUGAUUGAGGCUAUAUUAAUAUUACAUUCACCCAUGCUUGAAUCCACCUUUAAGGACGGCAUUCUCUAUGUCUUUCAGCUUCAUAGGCGUCCUAUUUUGUUGUCAUUUUAUUCCUUCGAUUGAUUCGCUACGAUUUGUUAGGAGAUUAUAAUAACAUUCUGUUAUGUCUUCUUUUAAGGGAUUAUAAUAAGGUAUCAUAUAUUUGUUAAAUUUGAAGUCAUAGAAAUGCAACUUUAAAAUCCUUGCUGAACCCUUUUUUUUUUUUUAGUAGGAUUGGUUUGCUGUAUAAAUUGUAAAGAGUAUGCGACAUUAUAGUUUUCUGUUGCCGGUAUUAAUGUAUCAUUCAUGUUGAUUCAAAUGUUCAAUUUAUACUUACGUCUGUUAACUUCCUAUGUUUUCUUCUGAAGCCAUAUGUUCAGUUUACAUUUGGGGAUUCAAUGUCAGAAGCGACAUUGGGAGAUUUUAUGUCAUUCUAUGUUGAAUUAUAAACAAAAAAAAAAUGUCAUUUUUGCUUUGUUUCUUCUUUUCCCUUCUCUUUUGCAGUAAAACCAAGAUGUCUUCCAUGAAUCAAUUUUGUUAGAUUAUUAGGAGAUAAUGAAGAAGCGUUUGAUGUUCUAUAUUGUAUAGCUUUUGCGAUGAUGGAUGCUUAGUGGCUUGUUAUGUGUGAUUCCUGUAAGGAAUUUAAUUUUUGAAGAGGUAACUCUUGCGAUCGACUCUACUUUUCAAUCUUAGUUACAUGAAGCUCCUUGCGGACCUCGCCGGUAAGCGGCCUUGAUUUCCAGAAGCGUAAAUCACUAAAAAAAUUUAUCCCUUUUUUGUGUUCUGUUUCGUGGUUUGUACAUUUUCACUUUAGAAA